CUCAAAUCACUAUGACUUUUGGUCGGACCUGGGUUGGAGUCAAUAUGCUUUUCUGUCGACGGUCACGUGACAGCCUCUAGACCAAUUAGGUAGCCAGAAAAAUAUGCUUACAUAAUAAAGCGUUAUAUCCCA